rnacentral:rRNA from 1 species
CAGUCGCCGCGGGAAUACAGAGGGUGCAAGCGUUAAUCGGAAUUACUGGGCGUAAAGCGCGCGUAGGUGGUUCGCCAAGUUGGAUGUGAAAUCCCCGGGCUCAACCUGGGAACUGCAUCCAAAACUGGCGAGCUAGAGUAUGGUAGAGGGUGGUGGAAUUUCCUGUGUAGCGGUGAAAUGCGUAGAUAUAGGAAGGAACAUCAGUGGCGAAGGCGACCACCUGGACUGAUACUGACACUGAGGUGCGAAAGCGUGGGGAGCAAACAGGAUUAGAUACCCCCGUAGUCCCUGUCUCUUAUAC